rnacentral:rRNA from 1 species
CGUCUAUAUACGUAUAGCAUAUCAAUAAGCGGAGGAAAAGAAACUAACUAGGAUUCCCUCAGUAACGGCGAGUGGAGCGGGAAGAGCUCAAAUUUGAAAUCUUCAAGGUUCUACCUUGACGAAUUGUAGUUUAAAGAAGGUGUUUUCUGUUGGAGUUUUGGUAAAAGUUCUUUGGAAUAGGACAUCAUAGAGGGUGAGAAUCCCGUAUUUGACCAUUUCUUUCCAACUGUGUGAUACACUUUCAAAGAGUCGGAUUGUUUGGGAAUGCAGUCCAAAAUGGGUGGUAAAUUUCAUCUAAAGCUAAAUACUUGGCGAGAGACCGAUAGCGAACAAGUACCGUGAGGGAAAGAUGAAAAGAACUUUGAAAAGAGAGUUAAACAGUACGUGAAAUUGUCAAAAGGGAAGCGUUUGACACCAGUGUUGUUUUCUCGAAAAUCAAUUAAAAAUGGCGGGAUUUUGUGUUGUAUUGACUUUAUCAGCUUUCUGCACUUUUUUCCUGUCUUUUUAAUGCACUUUUCGUUUAACAAGUCAACAUCAAUUUCUUUUGUUGUAAAAGAGUCAUUGGAAGGUGGCUUUCUUUUCGGAGAAAGUGUUUAUAGCCUUUGACUUCUGCAAUCGGAGAGAUUGAGGUCUGCAGCGUAGAUCCUUCGGGGUUAGAUGCAUUUGUGCUAAGCUAUAGCCUUUCAUAGACAACUCGUUGACUAUGAUCAGUCAUGUAGCUUACUCGCUUAUGUUAUUUUACCUACGCUUAGGAUGUUGACGAUCAGCUGAGCGCG